rnacentral:tRNA from 1 species
GUGCCUGUAGCUCAGUGGUUAGGGCACUGGUCACAUACACCGGGGAUGGCAGGUUCAAACCUGGCCUGGUCUG